UACGAAGGGUGCAAGCGUUACUCGGAAUUACUGGGCGUAAAGCGUGCGUAGGUGGUUUGUUAAGUCUGUUGUGAAAGCCCCCGGCUCAACUGGGGAGGGUCACGCGAUACUGAUCGACUCGAAGGCAGGAGAGGGAAGUGGAAUUCCCGGUGUAGUGGUGAAAUGCGUAGAUAUCGGGAGGAACACCAGUGGCGAAGGCGACUUCCUGGCCUGUUCUUGACGCUGAGGCGCGAAAGCUAGGGGAGCAAACGGGG
rnacentral:rRNA from 1 species